rnacentral:tRNA from 1 species
UAGCUCAGUGGGUUAGAGUGUUGUCCUGAUAUGCCAAGGUUGCAGGUUCAAUACCUGC